UAUGUGAUCGUCUCUCGCAUAUCAAUAAGCGGAGGAAAAGAAACUAACAAGGAUUCCCCUAGUAACGGCGAGUGAAGCGGGAAGAGCUCAAAUUUGAAAUCUUAAAGGGUUUCCCUUUACGAAUUGUAGUUUAAAGAAGUGUUUUCUGUUGAGGUUUUGGUAAAAGUUCUUUGGAAUAGGACAUCAUAGAGGGUGAGAAUCCCGUAUUUGACCUUUACUUUCAACUUUGUGAUACACUUUCAAAGAGUCGGAUUGUUUGGGAAUGCAGCCCAAAAUGGGUGGUAAAUUUCAUCUAAAGCUAAAUAUUGGCGAGAGACCGAUAGCGAACAAGUACCGUGAGGGAAAGAUGAAAAGAACUUUGAAAAGAGAGUUAAACAGUACGUGAAAUUGUCAAAAGGGAAGCGUUUGACACCAGUGUCGUUUUUCUGAAAAUCAAUUAAAGAACUGUUUAUGCUAAGUUGUUUAGACUUCAUCAGCUAACUGUUUAGUUUUGAGCUUUUCUUUAAUGCACUUUUCAGUUAACAAGUCAACAUCAAUUUCUUUUGCUGUAAAAAAGCUUGAGGAAGGUGGCCUGAGAUUCGUCUUAAGUGUUUAUAGCCUCUUGCCUAUGCAGUCGGAGAGAUUGAGGUCUGCAGCGUAGAUCCUUCGGGGCUAAAUGCAUUUGUGCUAAGUUAUAACAUUUUAUAGACAACUUGUUGACUAUGAUUUGUCUUGUAGCUUACUCGCUUAUGUUAUUUUACCUACGCUUAGGAUGUUGACACACGCGCGUGCUCG
rnacentral:rRNA from 1 species